CUCUUUUUUUGUUGCUGUGGUAGUAGUUUAAUAGUCUGAUUUAAGUCUUAAUCUGCAGUGCUCAUUUCAUAUCUUAUCUCCGUCUAUUAGACAAGUCACAUAACACAUUAAAUCUCUCAAAAAAUACUGUUUCCCCAAACAUAGAUUUGCACGAUUCCCUGCGCUAGUGAGCUGGUCUAUGUUCAGGGAAUUCCCCUGAAAGUACAACUGCUCUUUAGUUCAUGCUCGCAAGCGCAUCCUCACUUAGGAACAAAUUUGUUUUAAGACCGAGUUGUAAGAACGGAGUACUGCUAAUUCUGUUAAACCCUUUUGGAGUGCAUUAAUAAAGCUGUGCCAGUUGAUCAUAUUUUUCACUCAGACACAAACAAUCAUACACUUAGAUGUUUACAAAC